rnacentral:rRNA from 1 species
ACGGAGGAUCCCAAGCGUUUCCCGGAUUUAUUUGGGUUUAAAGGGUGCGCAGGCGGACUAGUAAGUCAGCGGUGAAAUCGAUCAGCUUAACUGAUCAACUGCCGUUGAUACUGCUAAUCUUGAGUUUAGACGGCGUGGGCGGAAUAUGUCAAGUAGCGGUGAAAUGCUUAGAUAUGACAUAGAACACCGAUAGGGUAGCCAGCUCACGAGGCUAAUACUGACGCUUAGGCACGAAAGCGUGGGGAUCAAACAGGAUUAGAUACCCUGGUAGUCCACGCAGUAAACGAUGAUCACUCGUUGUCGGCAAUAUACCGCCGGUGGCCAAGAGAAAUUGAUAAGUGAUCCACCUGGGGAGUACGUUCGCAAGUAUGAAACUCAAAGGAAUUGACGGGGGCCCGCACAAGCGGAGGAGCAUGUGGUUUAAUUCGAUGAUACGCGAGGAACCUUACCUAGACUUGAACGUAUUUGGAAUAACGUGGAAACAUGUUAGCCAGCAAUGGCCAUUUACGAGGUGCUGCAUGGUUGUCGUCAGCUCGUGCCGUGAGGUGUUAGGUUAAGUCCUGCAACGAGCGCAACCCUUACUGUCAGUUACCAGCACGUUAUGGUGGGGACUCUAGCGGAACUGCCGGCGCAAGCCGUGAGGAAGGUGGGGAUGACGUCAAAUCAGCACGGCCCUUACGUCUAGGGCGACGCACGUGCUACAAUGGGUGGUACAGAGGGCAGCUACAUCGCGAGGUGAUGCUAAUCUCAAAAACCAUUCUCAGUUCGGAUCGGAGUCUGCAACUCGACUCCGUGAAGUUGGAUUCGCUAGUAAUCGCACAUCAGCCAUGGUGCGGUGAAUACGUUCCCGGGCCUUGUACACACCGCCCGUCAAGCCAUGGAAGUUUGGGGUACCUGAAGUACGUGACCGCAAGGAGCGUCCUAGGGUAAAACAGAUAACUGGGGCU